GCCAUCUUAGCUCAGUCGGUAGAGCAGCUCACUCGUAAUGAGCAGGUCGCGGGUUCAAGUCCCGUGGAUGGCU
rnacentral:tRNA from 1 species